ACCUGUGUGUAUAUUAGACACCCCGGCCUCCUCACAACCUGUGUGUGUAUUAACACCCCGGCCUCCUCACUACCUGUGUGUGUAUUAGACACCCCGGCCCCCUCGCUACCUGUAUCAACUAUGGCCUGAGUAUGAUAGACUUAUCCAUGGUUUAAACAGAAUAUAUUGUUUUCAACUUUGAAAAUAAGAAUAUGGAAAUCCAGAUGCAGAAAUGUGAGAAGAAAAGAGAGUAAACAGAGUGGAAGGUCAGGUGACCUUGCCUGUCAUGAAUAUGAAGGUCAAGGUGUGUGAAUUGUGAAAUUUCCAAGAGAACCUCACUGAAGCAAAGAAUGGAGAAAGAAUCGCAUUUGGCCCUGGGAGCGUGCAGGGGUGAAUGGUGCAGGAGCUAAAUCUUUAUCAUACCCAGAAAUCAACAGCCACUAUUUGAAAUCAUCUAAAUUCGUGCUGCUAACCUUCAGUGUACACACAAAUCACCUGGGGAUCUUAUUAAAAGCUAGUUUCUGAUUCACUAAAUCUGUGUGAGGUGGAAGUUGAGGGCAGAGAAGCUCCCAAGGGUGUCAAGCUGACCCUGAACCCGACUUUGAGGGUUAAGGUCCCAAAUGGCAUCGCCAGCACCAGGGACAGACACUAAAAUUGUAGAAAUCAUCUCAAGAAAUGAACAGCCUCUAAGUCAGAUGUUGAAUGUGAAAGAAAUCAGGGUGUGUACGUGUGUGUGUGUUUGUGUGUGCACGUGUGUGCCUGUGUUUGUGCAUGUAUGUUUCUAUGUGUGCACAUGUGUGUAUGUGUCUGUGCAUGUGUGUUUCUGUGUGUGUGCCUGUGUGUGUAUUGGCUUAGAUCUGUUCGAGACUUUUUAUUUGAUGAGAUCGACAUAUGUCACCACUUUUGGAAAGGACAACGUAUAUACAAAGACAAUGAUUACUUAUGUAAUGUGAAUGGAGUCUCUCUUCGACCCUCAAAUGUUUUGUAGAAAGUAAUGCUGAUGGCGAGGAUUAUAAUAAUGCGUGUUUCCUGAAUAACAAAAAGGAGUUACAGUACACUUUUACCUAUUUUUCCAAAGCGCUAGGUCAAGUUUAGCUAAAGUCUGCUUGGAAUUAAUGAGGCUUGGAAAUGUAAAAUCUCAGAGCAGUAAACAUCUCUUUGUCCUAAUGUUCUUAUGUAGCCAUUAAAACUUAAAUAUUAAUGCUAAAAUAACUACUGUAAAAUAAAGUAAAAAUGUACGAAAAUAAUCAAAAUAAUU
rnacentral:lncRNA from 1 species